UACGAAGGGGGGCUAGCGUUGCUCGGAAUCACUGGGCGUAAAGCGCACGUAGGCGGACUCUUAAGUCGGUGGUGAAAUCCUGGAGCUCAACUCCAGAACUGCCUUCGAUACUGAGAGUCUCGAGUCCGAGAGAGGUGAGUGGAACUGCGAGUGUAGAGGUGAAAUUCGUAGAUAUUCGCAAGAACACCAGUGGCGGAAGGCGGCUCACUGGCUCGGUACUGACGCUGAGGUGCGAAAGCGUGGGGAGCAA
rnacentral:rRNA from 1 species